UGGGUCCUACGGGACGCAGCAGUGAGGAAUAUUGGUCAAUGGUCGGGAGACUGAACCAGCCAAGCCGCGUGAGGGAUGAAGGUACAGAGUAUCGUAAACCUCUUUUGUCAGGGAACAAAGGCGGGGACGUGUCCCCGGAUGAGUGUACCUGAAGAAAAAGCAUCGGCUAACUCCGUGCCAGCAGCCGCGGUAAUACGGAGGAUGCGAGCGUUAUCCGGAUGUAUUGGGUUUAAAGGGUGCGCAGGCGGUCGGUUAAGUCAGCGGUCAAAGCCCGGGGCUCAACCCCGGCCCGCCGUGGUAACUGG
rnacentral:rRNA from 1 species